AAGAAUGCGAUAUGCAAUGUGAAUUGCAGAACCAUGAAUCAUUGGAUCUUUGAACGCAACUGGCGCUGGUUAUACCAGCAUACUUGUUUCAGUGUGCUUAAACACUCAAAAAUAUAAAUGUGAGAGAAAAUCUCUCAUGAAAUUAAUGCUCUCUGCAGCUGUCACAUUAAUAUGUGAGCUAAAGACGAGAUUUACGCCAUAUUCGCACCUGAAAUCAAGUAAGAUGACCCGCUGGACUUAA
rnacentral:misc_RNA from 1 species